rnacentral:lncRNA from 1 species
UAGUUUUCUACUGUAUUUUAGACUUCUGCUUAUGUUUUCUUUUAUAAUCUUGUUGGGUUGUUGCUGUUGUUUACUUGAACUCAUGUUGUGUUGCUUUUAUUUGUUCACUUGUUUACUUCAAUUUUCCUUUAUUUGGUCAUGUUUAAAAACUAUAAAGAAUAAUAUUUUUAAAAAACAUUACAUAAAAAUAAACAACACCAAAUUAUUUUUUUAAUUUAACUCGAAAAAAUAUAUUCGAU